rnacentral:rRNA from 1 species
GAUGAACGCUAGCUACAGGCUUAACACAUGCAAGUCGAGGGGAACGAUAUUGGAAGCUUGCUUCUGAUAGGCGUCGACCGGCGCACGGGUGAGUAACGCGUAUCCAACCUGCCCAUCACUUGGGGAUAACCUUGCGAAAGUAAGACUAAUACCCAAUGACGUCUCUAGAAGACAUCUGAAAGGGAUUAAAGAUUUAUCGGUGAUGGAUGGGGAUGCGUCUGAUUAGCUUGUUGGCGGGGUAACGGCCCACCAAGGCGACGAUCAGUAGGGGUUCUGAGAGGAAGGUCCCCCACAUUGGAACUGAGACACGGUCCAAACUCCUACGGGAGGCAGCAGUGAGGAAUAUUGGUCAAUGGGCGAGAGCCUGAACCAGCCAAGUAGCGUGCAGGAUGACGGCCCUAUGGGUUGUAAACUGCUUUUAUAAGGGAAUAAAGUGGGAGUCGUGACUCUUUUUGCAUGUACCUUAUGAAUAAGGACCGGCUAAUUCCGUGCCAGCAGCCG